GAGUCAAAGCACCUGUGUGCUGCUCCUGCUGGCUUGGCCACCAGAUAAAUGCUGAGCGAGGUGACCGAGCUGCACCCUGCUCUGUCCCUACACAGCCGGGAUGGAUGCUGUGCUCCCUUCCCUUGCAGAGACACGACAACCUUUGUAAGGCCUCCGCGAUCCUUGGAUGAAAAAGGCUUGUAAAAGGCCUCGAAGCCAGCAGCUCAUCCCCAGCCACGCUUUCCAUUCCAAUCUGGUCCUUUAAAGCAGGGCUUUUUGUUUAUGAAACGCCAGGAACGUCUGGAUUAUAAUCUCUCUUCUGUCAAAUUAGCUAGGAAACUGUAAUUUUCCUCCGGGGACAGCGGUGCCCACGAAGCACACGUUUAAAAUUUAUCACUGCAGUUAAUGAAAUCUCAUUCCAGCCAGUUGCUGUAAGCACCUCUGGAUGUCAAGCUGCCAGCCUCAGAUAAAUGUCCCGUUGAAUCCUACCAGGUUCCAAUAAACAGCUUUUAGGUAGGAACUCGUGUCCAAUUCCUAAACGUUCAAGAACAGCUUGUGUUUCAAUCCCAUCCAGGUGCUUUACAAUCCUGGCACAACCCCUGACCACAGGGCUGUGCGUUUCGCAUUAGUGCUCUCGACUCAUCUCACACAUGCCCAGCCAUCCCCAAAUCAUCCAGACAUGGGAACACACCUCCUGGGGUCCCAAAACCACCGGGAUAACGCAGAUGGCACCCACUGCUCCUGCCCUGCUCCCCGCUCCUCCAUCCCUCCGACCCCCUCGCAAUGCUUUUGGGCAGGAUUUCCAGCUCAGCCCCGGAGGAAACGAGUGCCAAACUCCUCAGCUGCAUCACCGACGGGGCUUAAGCAUCUCUGAGCUUUGGGCUGUGAGAGAGGAGGAGGAGGAGGAGGCCAGUGAAGCCGCGAUACCCUGUGCCGGAGAGGAGCAGGAGCAGCAUCCCCAGUGUGGCAUCGGGGACGUUGUGGGGCCGUGGGGACUCGGUGUGGGCAUGGGCUGUGUGGUCCCCGCUCGCCCUUCUGCAGGGAAAGCACAGGGCGUCCGCGGGGCCCGAGCGGACCCGGCACAAACCCGCGUGCAU